CUGCUGUCACUAUGCCAGAGAUUGUUGACACAAAUAAUUCGUAAUCAAUCUAUAAAUCAAAAUUGGGGUGAGUUUAUUAUGAGCCAGAUAUGAGGACAAUAGCCUUGGGGAAGGAAGCACAUCAAAGAAGUGGGUUGUAUAGAGAGGUUAUAUAC